rnacentral:rRNA from 1 species
GACGAACGCUGGCGGCGUGCUUAACACAUGCAAGUCGAACGGAAAGGCCCUGCUUUUGUGGGGUGCUCGAGUGGCGAACGGGUGAGUAACACGUGAGUAACCUGCCCUUGACUUUGGGAUAACUUCAGGAAACUGGGGCUAAUACCGGAUAGGAGCUCCUGCUGCAUGGUGGGGGUUGGAAAGUUUCGGCGGUUGGGGAUGGACUCGCGGCUUAUCAGCUUGUUGGUGGGGCAGUGGCUUACCAAGGCUUUGACGGGUAGCCGGCCUGAGAGGGUGACCGGCAACAUUGGGACUGAGAUGCGGCCCGGACUCCUACGGGAGGCAGCAGUGGGGAAUAUUGCACAAUGGGCGGAAGCCUGUUACAGCAGCGCCGCGGGCGGGAUGACGGCUUUCGGGUUGUAAACCGCUUUCGCCUGUGACGAAGCGUGAGUGACGGUAGGGGGAAAGAAAGCACCGGCUAAUUACGUG